rnacentral:lncRNA from 1 species
AUGAUAUUAGUUAAACAAGGGUUUCAAACGGGACAUUUUUGAGUUACUUUAAACCACCCAUUGUUGUUAUGUUUACAUAAUAGUAUUUACAUUGCAACCCACAAAAAAACUAGUUAAUUUAGUUCCUAGAAUAUCUGUCCAAAAUACAUUUUUGGCAAACAUUGGAGGAACUGCUAGGAAUAAGGACUUAUUCAGAAAAUUUUCUUCGGCUGCUUCCUUUGCCAACACAUCAACUACUCUGUUCUGCUCCCUGUAGAUGUUCCUCACCACCACUCUACCCAUCCUUUGGAUGAUUGAUCUGCAUUCGUAAAUUAGAGGGUCAAAAAUAAGAUGUUCAUUUAUUAACAUAUUUAUUGUUUCUACUGAAUCAGUGUCUAUUUCUAACGGAACUAGGUUGUUCAGUUCUGCUAGUUGUAGACCCUACAUGAGGACCUGUAUUUCUGCCAAUGUGUUCGUUGUUCGAGGUAAGUUAUUAAUGUAGCCCAAUAUCCAGUCUCUAGUGUGAUUUCUUAAAAUUUCCCCUGAUCCUCCUAUUCAUAAGUUUCCUUUGUUUCUUCAUUGGUGUUUAGUUUGAAGGAAUCUCUAGGAGGGAGUAUCCUUUUUAGCAUGAUCAGGUGUAUUACCAUUGCCGUUGCCUUUGAAAUAGUGUUGUUUGCAUUAAUGUGUUCUUUUUUGUUAUUAAAAAUAUUGUUGUUUCUUGUCAACCAAAUGUUCUAAAGGCAAAAAGGGAUGUGGUUAUCUCAGUUGAGGCAACUGUUGUACUUUACAGCUUUGAGAGUUUGCUAGGAUGAUUGCCACAACUUGCUACUUAGGACUGGUUGAGGCAUUGUGGGACCUGAUGAUUUUGAUAAGAUAUCAUUCCAGAAAUGGAUAGCAUUAGGGCAUUGAAAGAAAAUAUGGUCAAUAUUUUCCUGAUUAUUGCUACUUAGGACUGGUUGAGGCAUUGUGGGUCCAUUUGAAGUGUGUUUCCUCCUUAGGAGGGUGGUCUUUGGUGUUCCUACUUAUGAAAGAGUAAGCAGAGCUAUUGGAGAACUACCCAUUGGAAGUGAGGUUCCAUAUAAAGUUGUCCUCCUUAUUGGUGGAACUAGGAAUGAACAUAGAGUUGAGGAGGUUUAGGAUGUUUGGGGGAAGGGUGAUGGACAAUGUUGAGGUGUCCCAAGUGUCUCUACAGUGCAUUGCUUCAACCCGGACUUGGAGGUCAUUUUGGGUUUGCAGUCUUCUAUCAUUUGCCUGAUUGCUAGUUGGUUAGGGAUCCAAAUUUCAUUCAAGAAGUUGACAAUAUUCCCUGUAUUAACUACCUAUCUUCUAGCUUUUCUACAAAUCUCCCAACCAUUGAGUAACCCCUUCCAGGUUGGGGAUUUAAGGUUCCUUGGAUAUCUCAAAAUAUGGGCUGGUCUAGAUAUGCUGCAAUGUUUGUGAAUCAGAACUCUAGCCAAAGGCUAUUGGUGUUCUUGUAAGUAUCCACGCCUGGUUUGAAACAACAACUUUAUUUUUAAUGUUAGCUUUUUGCAGCCCUACCCCCUCCCCUCCCCCCCCAGCUUUGGUUUUGUUGACUACAUCCUAUUUAAUCAUAUGAAGUUUUUUCCUUUCUGGUGUAGUGCCUGAAAGGAAAUUUCUCUAGAUUCUAUCUAAUUGGUGACCUUUGUAGGGAGAUUUAUAUAUUGCAUUACAUGGCUUGGGAUGUUGUUCAAGGUAGCCUUGGCUAGGGCUGUUCUCCCAACCAUGUUAAGGCAUUUUAUUUUUCAACCAGCCAUCUUGGAUUGCAUAUUAUCAACGAUGAAUUGGAAGUCUGAGGCUACUUGCUUUUUAUGGAAAAUUGGAAAUCCUAGGUAUUUCCCAAAUGUUGUUUUGUAUUUGAUGGAUAGAAGAGUGGUGAGAUGUUAGGUGGUAUCUUGGGUGAUGUUUGAGGAGAACAAGACUCUGGAUUUAGUUAGAUUAAUCUUUUUUCCUAACUGAUUAUUGAAGUUUUGCAAUAGAGUGAAUGGUAUUGCAGUUCCUGAG